rnacentral:rRNA from 1 species
GACGGACGCUGGCGGCGUGCUUAACACAUGCAAGUCGAACGGAAAGGCCCUGCUUUUGUGGGGUGCUCGAGUGGCGAACGGGUGAGUAACACGUGAGUAACCUGCCCUUGACUUUGGGAUAACUUCAGGAAACUGGGGCUAAUACCGGAUAGGAGCUCCUGCUGCAUGGUGGGGGUUGGAAAGUUUCGGCGGUUGGGGAUGGACUCGCGGCUUAUCAGCUUGUUGGUGGGGUAGUGGCUUACCAAGGCUUUGACGGGUAGCCGGCCUGAGAGGGUGACCGGCCACAUUGGGACUGAGAUGCGGCCCAGACUCCUACGGGAGGCAGCAGUGGGGAAUAUUGCACAAUGGGCGGAAGCCUGAUGCAGCAACGCCGCGUGCGGGAUAACGGCCUUCGGGUUGUAAACCGCUUUCGCCUGUGACGAAGCGUGAGUGACGGUAAUGGGUAAAGAAGCACCGGCUAACUACGUG